UGUUAAAAAUUUCAUGAAUUUGUACUAUUAAAAAUAGGUGUCAUUGAUUAAAUAACCAAAAAGUGACAUAUGGCGUAUCACAUGUACCUCAUGUUGAUGUGCAAAGAUCAAAUUUUAACAGUGAAAAUAGAUGUAAUUUUUAACA
rfam:Gossypium arboreum cultivar AKA8401 contig_78004_1, whole genome shotgun sequence.